rnacentral:tRNA from 1 species
CCUAUAGCUCAGCUGGAUAGAGCACACGCCUUCUAAGCGUGCGGUCGCAGGUUCGAAUCCUGCUGGGC